UACGUAGGGGGCAAGCGUUGUCCGGAUUUAUUGGGCGUAAAGAGCGUGUAGGCGGUUUGGUAGGUCCGUUGUGAAAACUCGAGGCUCAACCUCGAGACGCCGAUGGAAACCAUCAGACUAGAGUCCGGAAGAGGAGAGUGGAAUUCCUGGUGUAGCGGUGAAAUGCGCAGAUAUCAGGAAGAACACCCGUGGCGAAGGCGGUUCUCUGGGCAUUACCUGACGCUGAGGAGCGAAAGUGUGGGGAGCGAACAGG
rnacentral:rRNA from 1 species